GAUGAACGCUGGCGGCGUGCCUAAUACAUGCAAGUCGAGCGAACAGACGAGGAGCUUGCUCCUCUGACGUUACCGGCGGACGGGUGAGUAACACGUGGAUAACCUACCUAUAAGACUGGGAUAACUUCGGGAAACCGGAGCUAAUACCGGAUAAUAUAUUGAACGGCAUGGUUCAAUAGUGAAAGACGGUUUUGCUGUCACUUAUAGAUGGAUCCGCGCCGCAUUAGCUAGUUGGUAAGGUAACGGCUUACCAAGGCAACGAUGCGUAGCCGACCUGAGAGGGUGAUCGGCCACACUGGAACUGAGACACGGUCCAGACUCCUACGGGAGGCAGCAGUAGGGAAUCUUCCGCAAUGGGCGAAAGCCUGACGGAGCAACGCCGCGUGAGUGAUGAAGGUCUUCGGAUCGUAAAGCUCUGUUAGUAGGGAAGAACAAAUGUGUAAGUAUCUAUGCACGUCUUGACGGUACCUAAACAGAAAGCCACGGCUAACUACGUG
rnacentral:rRNA from 1 species